rnacentral:rRNA from 1 species
AUUGAACGCUGGCGGCAUGCUUUACACAUGCAAGUCGAACGGUAACAGGCCGCAAGGUGCUGACGAGUGGCGAACGGGUGAGUAAUGCAUCGGAACGUGCCCAGUCGUGGGGGAUAACGCAGCGAAAGCUGCGCUAAUACCGCAUACGAUCUAUGGAUGAAAGCGGGGGACCGUAAGGCCUCGCGCGAUUGGAGCGGCCGAUUUCAGAUUAGGUAGUUGGUGGGGUAAAGGCUCACCAAGCCAACGAUCUUUAGCUGGUCUGAGAGGACGACCAGCCGCACUGGGACUGAGACACGGCCCAGACUCCUACGGGAGGCAGCAGUGGGGAAUUUUGGACAAUGGGCGCAAGCCUGAUCCAGCAAUGCCGCGUGCAGGAAGAAGGCCUUCGGGUUGUAAACUGCUUUUGUACGGAACGAAACGGCUCUGGUUAAUACCUGGGGCUAAUGACGGUACCGUAAGAAUAAGCACCGGCUAACUACGUGCCAGCCGCCGCCGUAAAAC